UACAGAGACUGCAAGCGUUAUUCGGAUUCACUGGGCGUAAAGGGCGCGUAGGCGGAUGGUAAAGUCGGUGGUGAAAUCCUUCAGCUUAACUGGAGAAUGGCCGCCGAUACUGACUGUCUCGAGGGAGGUAGGGGCAUGUGGAACUCAGGGUGGAGCGGUGAAAUGCGUAGAUAUCCUGAGGAACGCCGGUGGCGAAAGCGACGUGCUGGACCUCUUCUGACGCUGAGGCGCGAAAGCCAGGGGAGCAAACGGG
rnacentral:rRNA from 1 species